rnacentral:rRNA from 1 species
UACGGGGGAUGCAAGCGUUAUCCGGAAUCAUUGGGCGUAAAGCGCCUGUAGGUUGUUUAAUAAGUCUGUUGUUAAAGACUAGGGCUUAACCCUAGAAAAGCAAUGGAAACUACUAGACUAGAGUAUGGCAGGGGUAGAGGGAAUUUCUAGUGUAGCGGUGAAAUGCGUAGAUAUUAGAAAGAACACCGGCGGCGAAAGCGCUCUACUGGACCAUUACUGACACUCAGAGGCGAAAGCUAGGGGAGCAAAAGGGAUUAGAUACCCCUGUAGUCCUAGCCGUAAACGAUGGAUACUAGAUGUUGCGCAAUUUGUGCAGUAUCUUAGCUAACGCGUUAAGUAUCCCGCCUGGGGAGUACGCUCGCAAGGGUG